rnacentral:rRNA from 1 species
UACGUAGGGUGCGAGCGUUGUCCGGAAUUAUUGGGCGUAAAGGGCUCGUAGGCGGUUUGUCGCGUCGGGAGUGAAAUCCACUGGCUUAACUGGUGGCUUGCUUUCGAUACGGGCAGACUGGAGGUAUGCAGGGGAGAACGGAAUUCCUGGUGUAGCGGUGAAAUGCGCAGAUAUCAGGAGGAACACCGGUGGCGAAGGCGGUUCUCUGGGCAUUACCUGACGCUGAGGAGCGAAAGUGUGGGGGAGCGAACAGG